rnacentral:rRNA from 1 species
AACGAACGCUGGCGGCGUGCCUAACACAUGCAAGUCGUGCGAGAAAGUUCCUUCGGGAGCGAGUAAAGCGGCGCACGGGUGAGUAACACGUAGGUAACCUGCCCCCAAGUCUGGAACAACUGGAGGAAACUCCAGCUAAUGCCGGAUGAGACCACGAUCCCUUCGGGGGUUGCGGCCAAAGAUGGCCUCUACUUGUAAGCUAUCGCUGAGGGAUGGGCCUGCGGGCCAUUAGCUUGUUGGUGAGGUAACGGCUCACCAAGGCUGUGAUGGCUAGCUGGUCUGAGAGGAUGACCAGCCACACUGGGACUGAGACACGGCCCAGACUCCUACGGGAGGCAGCAGUGGGGAAUAUUGCGCAAUGGGCGAAAGCCUGACGCAGCGACGCCGCGUGGGUGAUGAAGGCCUU